GAUGAACGCUGGCGGCGUGCCUAAUACAUGCAAGUCGAACGAAACUUCUUUAUCACCGAGUGCUUGCACUCACCGAUGAAGAGUUGAGUGGCGAACGGGUGAGUAACACGUGGGCAGCCUGCCCAAAAGAGGGGGAUAACACUUGGAAACAGGUGCUAAUACCGCAUAACCAUAGUUACCGCAUGGUAACUAUGUAAAAGGUGGCUAUACUACCGCUUUUGGAUGGGCCCGCGGCGCAUUAGCUAGUUGGUAGGGUAAAGGCUUACCAAGGCAAUGAUGCGUAGCCGAAUUGAGAGGUUGAUCGGCCACAUUGGGACUGAGACACGGCCCAAACUCCUACGGGAGGCAGCAGUAGGGAAUCUUCCACAAUGGGCGAAAGCCUGAUGGAGCAACGCCGCGUGGGUGAAGAAGGUCUUCGGAUCGUAAAACCCUGUUGUUAGAGAAGAAAGUGCGUGAGAGUAACUGUUCACGUUUCGACGGUAUCUAACCAGAAAGCCACGGCUAACUACGUG
rnacentral:rRNA from 1 species